rnacentral:rRNA from 1 species
AGGAUUAACGCUGGCGGCGUGCCUAACACAUGCAAGUCGAACGAGGUAGCAAUACCUAGUGGCAGACGGGUGAGUAACGCGUGGUCAACCUACCGUUGAGUGGGGGAUAACUAGCCGAAAGGUUAGCUAAUACCGCAUACGAGUCUCGGGGGCAUCCCUGAGCCUUAAAAGGAGCAAUCCGCUCGAUGACGGGACCGCGUCCCAUUAGCUAGAUGGUGGGGUAACGGCCUACCAAGGCGACGACGGGUA